rnacentral:lncRNA from 1 species
CUCAGCUUUUUCCUUCUACGCAUGACUGCAAGGGGCAGAGACCCCUCAUGGGGUCUUCUCUGGCCGCAAAUGGCCCUCGCAUUUUCCAUUGCUCUCCUUUCUUUCACUGUGGUUUCUGUCAAUGCUGAUGGUUACCCUUACUAUUCUCCUCCUCCUCCUUACGAGUACAAAUCACCACCUCCUCCACCUUAUGAGCACAAGUCUCCUCCUUAUGAGUACAAGUCUCCACCUCCCCCAUCUCCAUCUCCUCCUCCUCCUUACGUCUACAAGUCUCCACCUCCACCACCAUAUGAGCACAAGUCUCCUCCAUAUGUGUACAAAUCACCACCUCCUCCAUCUCCUUCACCACCACCUCCUUACGUCUACAAGUCUCCACCUCCUCCUCCUUAUGUCUACAAGUCUCCACCUCCUCCUCCUUACGUCUACAAGUCUCCACCACCACCUCCUUAUGUCUACAAAUCUCCCCCUCCACCACCAUAUGAGCACAAGGCUCCACCAUAUUAUUACAAGUCACCACCACCUCCUUCCCCAUCUCCUCCACCUCCUUAUUACUAUAAAUCUCCUCCACCACCCUCUCCCUCACCUCCUCCUCCCUACUACUACAAGUCUCCACCACCUCCUUCACCAUCUCCUCCUCCACCCUACUACUACAAGUCCCCACCACCUCCUUCACCAUCUCCUCCUCCACCCUACUACUACAAGUCCCCACCACCACCCUCCCCAACUCCCUACUACUACAAGUCCCCACCACCACCAUCUCCAACUCCCUACUACUACAAGUCUCCACCACCACCAUCUCCAACUCCUUACUAUCCAUCCCCCACUCCUUACUACUACAAGUCUCCACCACCACCAUCCCCAACUCCCUACUACUACAAGUCUCCUCCUCCUCCUUCACCUACUCCUUACUACUACACUUCUCCACCACCACCCAAAUAUCCACCUCCCUACUAUUAUAACUCCCCUCCUCCACCUGUUGUGUAUCCCCCACACCCCUACCACCCCCACCCCUUGAUUGUCAAGGUAGUGGGUAAAGUCUACAGCUACAAGUGCUAUGACUGGGAGUAUCCCGAGAAGUCUCACAACAAGAAACACCUCAAAGGUACACACCUUAUUUUUCUCAUUUACAAUGCCUUCCAAUUAAUGUUCUCUGUGUUACCAUCAAACUGUUACUUUCCUGCUUCUUUGAUGUUCAUUAGCAGCCGCUUUUUGGAGUUAGGAGACUCCUAUGUUUCCAUAAUGGAAAUGUCUUUGUUUUUAAAAUUCAGUCACUUUCACAACCACCUUUUCUUAUCUGUCUGUUUUUCUUAUAAUUAACCUUUUGAGGUUAAUUAACGUGUUAAUAAGGUUUGAGGGAAAAAAACUGAACAGAUUCAGAGCGUCUAGAGUAAUGCACAAGUGAACAUUUUAUAAUGUGGUUAAUAGGCAUUUUAUAAUUUUAAUGAUAUAUUUAUCUGCAUUGAUCUGUGCAAGUAUCUUUAUAUAAAUUAAACAAAGAUACUAAAUAAAUGUCUUAGAUUAUGUGUGAUUAUCUCCAAAAGGAGAUUCAUAAAAAGGAAAAGAAAAACAGAAAUAUAAUUUAGAAGAAUCGGCUAAUGCCUGUAAUACAUUAAGAAAUAAUCAACUAGACACUUUAUAUAUGAACCUUUAAAUGAUUCUUAAUAUAUAAUAUAAUAUGGUAUCUGACAAAACUUUCACUUUAAUGAUAACUUGGUGUGUGGUAUGAUCUAUGAAUUGGAAUUAAGCAUUUUGGGGUGAAUGCAGGUGCUACUGUUGAGGUUAAAUGCAAAGCAGGAAGAAACAUCAUUAAGGCUUAUGGUGAAACUAAGAGCAAUGGAAAAUACAGCAUCACAGUUAAGGACUUUAACUAUGUGAAAUAUGGAUCCGUAGUGUGCAAGGCCAAGCUUUAUGCCCCACCUAAGGACUCUCCAUUCAACAUACCUACAAAGUUGAACGAGGGAACAGAGUUGAAGGUCAAAUCCAAAGACAAAUAUGAAGUUGUGUUGAAGGCUAAGCCAUUUGCUUAUGCUUCAAAGAAGCAUUUCAAAGAAUGUGAAAAGCCUAAGCCUUCACCAACUCCAUACUAUUACAAGUCACCUCCUCCUCCAUCUCCAGUUUACAUAUACAAGUCACCACCUCCUCCAUCACCUACUUAUGUUUACAAGUCACCACCACCACCAGUGAAGUCACCUCCCUAUUACUAUCAAUCUCCACCUCCACCAUCACCAAAACCUCAGCCUCCUUAUUAUUAUCACUCUCCACCUCCUCCAACACCAGUUGUUAAGCCACCAUACUACUACCAAUCUCCACCUCCUCCAUCUCCAAAACCUAAGCCUCCAUACUACUACCAAUCUCCUCCUCCUCCAUCACCAAAACCUAAACCUCCUUACUACUACCAAUCUCCACCUCCUCCAUCACCAAAACCUCAGCCUCCAUACUACUAUCAAUCUCCACCUCCUCCAACACCAGUUGUGAAGCCACCAUACUACUACCAAUCUCCACCUCCUCCAUCACCAAAACCUCAGCCUCCUUACUAUUACCAAUCUCCACCUCCUCCAACACCAGUUGUUAAGCCACCAUACUACUAUAAAUCUCCACCUCCCCCAUCACCCUCUCCUCCACCACCAUACUACUACAAAUCUCCACCACCACCAUCCCCAUCACCGCCACCUCCAUACUACUAUAAAUCUCCACCUCCACCAUCACCGGUUGUUAAGCCACCAUACUACUAUAAAUCCCCACCUCCCCCAUCACCCUCUCCUCCCCCUCCAUACUACUAUAAAUCUCCACCUCCAUACUACUACCACUCUCCACCUCCACCAUCACCAGUUGUUAAGCCACCAUACUACUACAAAUCUCCACCUCCACCAUCACCCUCACCUCCCCCUCCAUACUACUAUAAAUCUCCACCCCCACCUUCACCAUCCCCUCCUCCUCCAUACUAUUAUAAAUCACCACCACCACCAUCCCCAUCACCGCCACCUCCAUACUAUUACAAAUCCCCUCCACCUCCAUCCCCAUCUCCACCGCCUCCUUAUUACUAUCACAGUCCUCCUCCACCAUCUCCCACUCCUCAUCCUCCCUACUACUACAAAUCCCCUCCACCACCAACGUCCUAUCCUCCACCUCCUUACCACUAUGUGAGCCCUCCACCACCUUCUCCAUCUCCACCUCCACCAUACUAUUACAAAUCACCACCUCCUCCCUCCCCAGCCCCCGCUCCAAAGUACAUUUACAAAUCACCUCCACCUCCAGCUUACAUCUAUUCUUCCCCACCUCCACCCAUCUACAAGUAAGCUCGGAUUGUGGAAGCACCAUUCACCACAAAUCAUGUAAGUUCAGGAUUCCAACAUUGAUCAUAAGUAAAAUUAGUUAAUUAUACGUGUAUGAAUUUUAGUAAUGGAAAUUCCCACUGAAUUAUUUU